GGUCCAUUAGUCUAAUGGUAGAACAUCUCGUUUACACCGAGAAGGCGGAGGUCCGAUUCCUCCAUGGACCA
rfam:Candidatus Pacearchaeota archaeon CG1_02_30_18 cg1_0.2_scaffold_948_c, whole genome shotgun sequence.